UACACGGUGAUUUAAGUUUUGGUAAAUUGGUUUAUGCAACUAAAUAAUUGGAUUUAUGAUAUUGGAGAAAUUGAAACUUAACGCUAGACUUGAAACUUGGGAAAUAUAAUAGUUGACAUGUUAAUUGGCAUCAAGAUUAAGAACUUAAUUAUAAAUUUGGGUGAGUUUUUGGGCCGGGUAACAUAGGUAUUGUUAGUUCCAAAAUCUUAUUGUGGUUAUUUAUUUAAAUAGAUUGUAAUGAUUUGGUAAGUCAACCGAAAGAGGAUGGCUCAAGUUCUGGAGUCAUUGUUCAACUAUUUGAGGCAAGUGGAUUUCUAAACCUUUGUUAAGUAUAUGGAAUUCGUGUAUUUCCUUGUAAUAUGUGUUUGGGGAUACUGAGACUUGGUGAUGGAUUGACUUGUCCAAAUUGAUUAAUUCUAAUGAUGAAAAAGGGGUAAUAAAAGGCAAUGUGAUUAAUUGUUUAUGUGUGAUUGUGUUCUUUAUUGAACUCGUAUACUUGUGAUAGCUGAGGUGAUUACAUAUCAUAUUGAUAUUUGAUUGAGAUCAUCAUCCCCUUUAUUUGAAAUUAUAUAGUGCACAUGCAUUGACAUGAGAUUGAGUAUAAGUUGGGCACGUGGAGAUCGUCCGUGCUGGGGAUGGUGAGAUGUUAAGAUUAUAAUUUAGGCACGUGGAGAUCGUCCGUACGAAAUUUGUUUGAUUUAUGAUAGUGCGUUGAGAUCGUCCGCACAAACACAUGGAGAUCGUCUGUGUCAAUAUAUGGACCUCACGAGUCCCCCAUGGGUCAUGAAUUCUCGAUGUAUUUUCGAGAAGUAUCAUGUAUAUACUGUUGAGAGAGUAAUUGAUAUUCUGAGGCAUAUCAUUUCAUUGUGUCAUAUUGCAUUGCAUCUCAUGACAUCCUUCAUUCUUGAUGAUUAUGUGUUUUAUUGGUGGUUAGAAAGUACUUGAUGUUUGAUUACCUCUAUUUGAUGAAUUUGAUCUUGUGUGUUGUUGAUAUUUGUUAGUGCCUUUCUGUGAAAGUUGUGAUUGAUGAAUAUUGAGUUUGUUGUUGAGGAUAUGUAAUUUGUUAAAGUGAUUGUUGUUGAGCUGGGUGCUAUGUAAACUGUGAACUGCUACGUUGAACUAGUUUUAUGCAGGUUGUAGUUGUGGAGAUUUGAUUGGGGUGUAAGGAGUACCCGUAUUCUAUUCCCUUAGCUUGUGUUUAGAGGUGUACUUGCUGAGUACCGUGUGAUUUGGUACUCACCCCUUGCUUCUACAAUUUUUUAUAGGUUACGAGCCUGAAUUUCGUAAUACUUUCCAUUCUCUUAUUUUCCGAGGCUUCUUGGAGAUUUGUGAGGUAGUUGUUUGUCAUCUCAGUGGACGUUUUUACUCCUAUUUAUGAUAUUAUUCUAUUUUAGAGACAACAGCAUUUGAGACUUACGUUUUCUUUCAAAUCUAUUGUAAUGCUUUAGAGGCUUGUACACGUGACAACAAGAUUUUGGGGGUAUUUUUGAGUUAAUUAUGAAAUUUCCGCAUUUUAUUGUAAUGGGUGAGUAUUAGGUUGACUUGUUUUGGUGGGAUAAGACGAGUGUCAUCACGUCCAUUUUUGGAUCGUGACAAGAAAUAAUAAUUGUGUGGCAAGAAUUAAACCGCGUGGGC
rnacentral:lncRNA from 1 species